CAGGGUGCCACAACCGGUCCUCAUGCAAUCACGGUAGUUAAGCAACGUUGAGCCUGGUCAAUACCUAGAUAGGUGACCGCUAGAGAAUACCAGGUGUUGUAA